rnacentral:rRNA from 1 species
CCUACGGGUGGCAGCAGCGAGGAAUAUUGGUCAAUGGACGAGAGUCUGAACCAGCCAAGUAGCGUGAAGGAUGACUGCCCUAUGGGUUGUAAACUUCUUUUAUAUGGGAAUAAAACGUUCCACGUGUGGGAUUUUGUAUGUACCAUAUGAAUAAGGAUCGGCUAACUCCGUGCCAGCAGCCGCGGUAAUACGGAGGAUCCGAGCGUUAUCCGGAUUUAUUGGGUUUAAAGGGAGCGUAGGUGGAUUGUUAAGUCAGUUGUGAAAGUUUGCGGCUCAACCGUAAAAUUGCAGUUGAAACUGGCAGUCUUGAGUACAGUAGAGGUGGGCGGAAUUCGUGGUGUAGCGGUGAAAUGCUUAGAUAUCACGAAGAACUCCGAUUGCGAAGGCAGUUCACUGGACUGCAACUGACACUGAGGCUCGAAAGUGUGGGUAUCAAACAGGAUUAGAUACCCCAGUAGUC